rnacentral:rRNA from 1 species
UACAACGAUAUGGAGAGCUCGGUAGCAGGGCAGUAGGAGCCUGCGGGCGUCGUGGGCGGGUACGCGGACGGGUGUAACCUGAUGCUGCGGUAGGUGGGUCCUAGGUAAACAUUGUACCGUACCCCGAGUUAGAAAACCGUUUUACACGUACGAAGCAAAGUACUCGUUUGCGUACUACUCGGGAUACUGGACGUGCACUAGGUACUAGGGUUAUACUUCAGCGAUCGGGUAGUUACCAUGUGGUAGAGGUAAAAACAGCGCUUAAAAACACCACACUAACGUGUUUUACUCUCUUCCACCGGUGCCCGAGCGUUUGGUAACUCUAAAUGCGCCUGUUUAUACUACAGACAAAAGGUACAGCUGCAACCUCUACGGGAUUCUUUUGACGGAUAUUCUAGUUUACUAGUUGUAACGCACGACUAGCCACUUGUGGGGUUGAGCGGGAGGUUCUUUAGGGAUCUUCGUUCUUUCGUUGCGUUGGAUUUUGGGGUUACGCGAAACCUGGAGCGGCGCGGCUACGGGUAGGGGAGGGCUGGCGGGACAGGGUUACCUCAGUGGCAGCCGCCCGUGGCACACUGGGCGGAUGGGCCGUACGGGCCCCACGGGAUGGGUCGUCGGACAGGGUGGACGGGCAGGCACUCGCCUCCGCCGUUGCUGUCGACACCCUAGGGACGAUGCUAGAGGCCACCUCCGCCGCGGUGGGAGCGCAACCAGCAACAGGUCUAGGUAUUCACACAGAUGCUGUUCUUCGGUCGUCGUUGUGACCUUCAGCGCUGAGGAGGUGGUCGAGGAGAAGGCCGCGCAGUGAGGAGGAGAGCGAGACGGAGGCCGCCGCCGCUGAGAUCACAACGUAGUCUUAAGCGUGCUGGCCCGGUAGCGAGGAGGAGACCGCCGAAGUCGUGACGUAGUCGGCAGCUCCACAUGGGCGUCGGCGACGUCCCGAAGAUGAGUAACGGGGGGACGUCCGUGGACAGUGCAUGCUCCACCUAGGCCUCCUACGCCUCCAACGCCGCAGCAGAAGUCAGACGUUGUAGUACACUGAACGAAGAGGUUCAUGUCUGGCGGAGCUGAUGAUGAUGCGGAUGCAUAGCUAGACGUACGUCGCAGGAGGAGGAGGAGGAUGUCAUGACCAUAACACAGUCGAGAUGGGUUGGUGAGGGGUCGGCCGCGUAGGGGUGGGGUGGAGGGCGUGCCGUGGAUGGGGGAGGACGGGGCUAGGUUUGGGGGUGGAGGGAGGUGGAAGAUGGUGGCGGCGACGAUCUGGUGGCCAGAGGCAGAGCGACGGGGCGGGGACAGGUGGAAGACGGCGGCGGUCUCGUGGCGGCAUCCAACGGUGGGCGGCGCGGUGAGGUAGAGGAAGAUGGCAGCGGGGACGGUGUGGCGGGGAGGGUACGUAGCGAAACGGGUUGGGUCAAGGGAUCACACGGUGAUGAGGAGGGGCGUUGGUGGACGAACAGGAGAAGCCGCGUCGGGUUCGCUAGGACCGCCGGGAGGCUCCUGACCGGCAAGGAGAUACCCGGUCUAGGCCGCUCUAAAAUGGUUAGGGCGUGGAGGAGCUCGGUCUAGGCUCGACGGAGCCCCAGGAGGAGAGGCAGGUGCCGGUCUGCGUCCGGUCGGAGCAGCAGAGGAUGGAGGCGGCCCUUGCCCUAGGGGCGAGUGCACGGGGGGUCGAAGAGAAGGCCGGUCCUGUUUGCCGGAGCUACGUCGAGAAGCCACCCACUUCACGCCAGGUGCUGCUCGCGGUUACGUCACGCCACGAGAGGUUAAGAAGUCUAAACAAAACCCGUUAAGUCAAACCUCGAAGCGCAGGCGGGGUGUCGGAGCCACCAGAGGGUGGAGGGAUGAAGGUAGGAGCCGCCGGCUGGGUGUUGACUCCUGCGUGCCAAGGUCGGUGGACGGGGAGGGGUGCGGCUACGCGACCUGCUGUUGUCGUGUUGUCGUGGCCUCCACUCGCGGGAGGAGAGAGAGGAAAGGAAGAAGGAGGAGUAGAGAGGGAGUGUAGAGCGAACACGGGGCGUCCACCGCUGUACCGGUAGAGUUAGAACAGGAACGCGGUGUGGUACCUGGGGCAAGCUAUCGCUGGAGGGGCUGCUGGUUCACAACGUCGGGUGAAAAAAGAAAAACGUUAAGCGUACAAUU